rnacentral:rRNA from 1 species
UACGUAGGGCGCAAGCGUUGUCCGGAAUUAUUGGGCGUAAAGAGCUCGUAGGUGGUUUGUCGCGUCUGUCGUGAAAGCCCAUGGCUUAACUGUGGGUCUGCGGUGGAUACGGGCAGGCUGGAGGCAGGUAGGGGGAGAACGGAAUUCCCGGUGUAGAGGUGAAAUUCGUAGAUAUCGGGAGGAACACCGGUGGCGAAGGCGGCGAUCUGGGUCGAUACUGACGCUGAGGUGCGAAAGCGUGGGGAGCGAACAGG